rnacentral:rRNA from 1 species
CCUACGGGUGGCAGCAGUGGGGAAUAUUGGGCAAUGGGCGCAAGCCUGACCCAGCAACGCCGCGUGAAGGAAGAAGGCUUUCGGGUUGUAAACUUCUUUUCUCAGGGACGAAGCAAGUGACGGUACCUGAGGAAUAAGCCACGACUAACUACGUGCCAGCAGCCGCGGUAAUACGUAGGUGGCAAGCGUUAGCCGGAAUUACUGGGUGUAAAGGGCGCGUCGGCGGGGACGCAAGUCAGAUGUGAAAACCACGGGCUCAACCUGUGGCCUGCAUUUGAAACUGUGUUUCUUGAGUACUGGAGAGGCAGACGGAAUUCCUAGUGUAGGGGUGAAAUGCGUAGAGAUUAGGAGGAACACCAGUGGCGAAGGCGGUCUGCUGGACAGCAACUGACGCUGAGGCGCGAAAGCGUGGGGAGCAAACAGGAUUAGAUACCCUUGUAGUC